GGGGCUGUAGCUCAGUGGCAGAGUGCUUGCCUAGCAUGCAUGAGGUACUGGGUUCAAUCCUUAGCGCCA
rnacentral:tRNA from 1 species